AGAGUUUGAUCCUGGCUCAGAAUCAACGCUGGCGGCGUGCCUCAGACAUGCAAGUCGAACGCGAAAGCUCCCUUCGGGGGGCAAGUAGAGUGGCGCACGGGUGAGUAACACGUAGGUAAUCUACCUUCGGAUGGGGAAUAACAACCGGAAACGGUUGCUAAUACCGCAUAAUGCAGCGGCACCUAAUGGUGACAGUUGUUAAAGCGGGGGAUUGAAAGACCUCGCGUCUGAAGAGGAGCCUGCGGCAGAUUAGCUAGUUGGUAAGGUAACGGCUUACCAAGGCGACGAUCUGUAGCCGGCCUGAGAGGGCGGUCGGCCACACUGACACUGACAUACGGGUCAGACUCCUACGGGAGGCAGCAGUCGGGAAUUUUGGGCAAUGGGCGAAAGCCUGACCCAGCAACGCCGCGUGAAGGAUGAAACCCUUCGGGAUGUAAACUUCGCAAGAACGGGAAGAAUAAGUCUGUGCUAACACCACAGAUGAUGACGGUACCGUUUGUAAGCUCCGGCUAACUCCGUGCCAGCCGCCGCGGUAAUAC
rnacentral:rRNA from 1 species